CAUUGACUUUGCAGCAAGACAUCGGUUUGUUCGAGCUGCUAAUAAAAGCAAGGUAACAACCUGUAAGGAGGACAUUUGGAAUCAAACAACCUUGUAAAGACGCUGCCUUCAUCACCGGGAGCAAACCCUGAUUGAUUGUCCGGUAAUCAGUGUACUGGCUAAAGGGGCUGGACCCUCUCCUCCUGUCCUCAAGACUCCCAACUGCAGCAGAGUGUUCUGCCUGCAUGUGUGUACACGCAACGUAUGUCUGCCUGCGCCAGAAGAGGGUGUUGUGUCCUCUGGAACUGGAGUUACAAACAGCUGUGAGUCGCCAUAUCGGUGCUGGAUCUUCACCUGGAUCCUCUGCAAAAGUGCAGAGGCAGCUCUGAGGCAGCUCCCCAGCCCACCAAGAUGUUUAUAUAUGUAAAGUUCUUUUUGUAUGACGGUGUGUUUCUAUUGUGAGAAUUUUCUUUUUUACUCAUGAAUCAUAACACAGUUUGAGGUUUGCAUUGUGUUUGUGUAAAAUAAAUAUAUUUUACAUUUAAGUAAAA